rfam:Triticum aestivum genome assembly, contig: Triticum_aestivum_CS42_TGACv1_scaffold_222779_3B
CAUAUACUCCCUCCGUCCGAAAAUACUUGUCAUUAAAAUGGAUAAAAAGAGAUGUAUCUAAAACUAAAAUACGUCUAGAUAUACCAUUUUUUAUCCAUUUUGAUGACAAGUAUUUCCAAACGGAGGGAGUAUUAA